AAGAUGGCGACCGGCGGCACGGGUGAGUAACACGUAUCCAACCUGCCGAUAACUCCGGAAUAGCCUUUCGAAAGAAAGAUUAAUACCGGAUGGCAUACGAAUAUCGCAUGAUAUUUUUAUUAAAGAAUUUCGGUUAUCGAUGGGGAUGCGUUCCAUUAGUUUGUUGGCGGGGUAACGGCCCACCAAGACUACGAUGGAUAGGGGUUCUGAGAGGAAGGUCCCCCACAUUGGAACUGAGACACGGUCCAA
rnacentral:rRNA from 1 species